UAUAAUUAAAAUAAGUUUAGAUACAUGUAUUUCUAGGACAAGUAUUUCCAGACGGAGGGAGUAGUAGAUAACCCCAAAAGUCCUUAUGUUAAGACCUUAUAGGACUAACGCACCACAUCAGCAACCAUCGUCAGUAGAGACUAUGUUUAUUACUUUCGUUGCGGACUCCUCUUUUUCCUUUUCUUUUUGGGGUGUGCUAUAAGCAACCUGCGACCGUUGCUACUGGUGAUGAUAAUCUCAGUGAUUAGAGCAUCUCCAACGGCUCGUCUAAAGUGUCUUCUAUACGCGUUUAACGACGAAGGAGCAAAAACGACCUUCCAACAACUCGUGUAUAUGGUCGUGCAAAUUUACACAUCGUCCAAAUCGCGUUCGAGGAUGUCCAGCCUUGAAGGAUGUGAACCCGUCGUCCAUAUCCCAACAGAACGCCAGGUUCCUCCAUCGCGCCGAGAGGAGGAAGAGGCGCACAACGCCGUCGUGCCGCGCCACCGCCGAGGGUUGUCUGCCUGUUUUAUUGCGAGCUUUUGUUUUCGAGAAAGAAAAUAUUGCGAGCCUUUUUAGCAGAGCAUACAGCCCAGGUACAACCGCAAGCGGCCCAUUACGAGAAAAUGGAGGGAAAAACUCCAGAAGCGAGGGAAAAUCCUCUUCCCAUUCCACAAAUCCGCGCUCAGAAAAAUAUGGAAACCCACGUCGACCUCGGCUCCGGCUCCGACGGCGGCGACCCAGCUGCGACGAAGCCGGCGAUGGACGAACCACACGCCGCUGCAGCCCCCUCCCUCCCCGGCACCGACGCGCUCCCCGCCGCCCUGCCGGGUGCCGCCGCCGGCGCCAGGAAGCGGAAGGCCCCCGUGACAGCAACGCGCGAAGGCUGUCAGGAAGUCUCGCAAGCAGAAGAUUGAAGUUGAAGAACCGAUUCAGAUGCCUGUGUACUAUGGGCGCAGAGAGCCGUUUUCCCGCGUGCGUGGCAAUGAUCUGGAAAACAAAUGCGCUCACUUAAUCGGCGAGCUACCGCUGAAGCCAUAGUCCAUGUCACUGGUUGAUCUACAGCUCUGGAUCUUCAGGCUGUUCCAGCUCCAUCCAGAAACACAAGAUCUUGAUGUCAAGGGGUUCCUCAAGCAACGCAAAACUGACUUCUUUGGCGAAGAGUCCUCCGAACCGGACUGUUGUUUGGAGGACUACCCGUGGGGCAUGAAUGAGUUUUUGACUGACAAAUGCUGGAGUUCCUUUGCAAAUAA